ACGAACGCUGGCGGCGUGCCUAAUACAUGCAAGUAGAACGCUGAAGAGAGGAGCUUGCUCUUCUUGGAUGAGUUGCGAACGGGUGAGUAACGCGUAGGUAACCUGCCUUGUAGCGGGGGAUAACUAUUGGAAACGAUAGCUAAUACCGCAUAACAAUGGAUGACACAUGUCAUUUAUUUGAAAGGGGCAAUUGCUCCACUACAAGAUGGACCUGCGUUGUAUUAGCUAGUAGGUGAGGUAACGGCUCACCUAGGCGACGAUACAUAGCCGACCUGAGAGGGUGAUCGGCCACACUGGGACUGAGACACGGCCCAGACUCCUACGGGAGGCAGCAGUAGGGAAUCUUCGGCAAUGGGGGCAACCCUGACCGAGCAACGCCGCGUGAGUGAAGAAGGUUUUCGGAUCGUAAAGCUCUGUUGUAAGUCAAGAACGAGUGUGAGAGUGGAAAGUUCACACUGUGACGGUAGCUUACCAGAAAGGGACGGCUAACUACGUGCCAGCAGCCGCGGUAAUACGUAGGUCCCGAGCGUUGUCCGGAUUUAUUGGGCGUAAAGCGAGCGCAGGCGGUUUGAUAAGUCUGAAGUUAAAGGCUGUGGCUCAACCAUAGUUCGCUUUGGAAACUGUCAAACUUGAGUGCAGAAGGGGAGAGUGGAAUUCCAUGUGUAGCGGUGAAAUGCGUAGAUAUAUGGAGGAACACCGGUGGCGAAAGCGGCUCUCUGGUCUGUAACUGACGCUGAGGCUCGAAAGCGUGGGGAGCGAACAGGAUUAGAUACCCUGGUAGUCCACGCCGUAAACGCUGAGUGCUAGGUGUUGGAUCCUUUCCGGGAUUCAGUGCCGCAGCUAACGCAUUAAGCACUCCGCCUGGGGAGUACGACCGCAAGGUUGAAACUCAAAGGAAUUGACGGGGGCCCGCACAAGCGGUGGAGCAUGUGGUUUAAUUCGAAGCAACGCGAAGAACCUUACCAGGUCUUGACAUCCCGAUGCUAUUUCUAGAGAUAGAAAGUUACUUCGGUACAUCGGUGACAGGUGGUGCAUGGUUGUCGUCAGCUCGUGUCGUGAGAUGUUGGGUUAAGUCCCGCAACGAGCGCAACCCCUAUUGUUAGUUGCCAUCAUUCAGUUGGGCACUCUAGCGAGACUGCCGGUAAUAAACCGGAGGAAGGUGGGGAUGACGUCAAAUCAUCAUGCCCCUUAUGACCUGGGCUACACACGUGCUACAAUGGUUGGUACAACGAGUUGCGAGUCGGUGACGGCAAGCUAAUCUCUUAAAGCCAAUCUCAGUUCGGAUUGUAGGCUGCAACUCGCCUACAUGAAGUCGGAAUCGCUAGUAAUCGCGGAUCAGCACGCCGCGGUGAAUACGUUCCCGGGCCUUGUACACACCGCCCGUCACACCACGAGAGUUUGUAACACCCGAAGUCGGUGAGGUAACCUUUUGGAGCCAGCCGCCUAAGGUGGGAUAGAUGAUUGGGGUG
rnacentral:rRNA from 1 species